CCUACGGGAGGCAGCAGUAAGGAAUAUUGGUCAAUGGGCGCAAGCCUGAACCAGCCAUGCCGCGUGCAGGAAGACGGCCCUAUGGGUUGUAAACUGCUUUUGAACAAGAGAAAACCUCGGUACGUGUACCGAGCUGAUAGUAUUGUUAGAAUAAGCAUCGGCUAACUUCGUGCCAGCAGCCGCGGUAAGACGAAGGAUGCAAGCGUUAUCCGGAUUCAUUGGGUUUAAAGGGUGCGUAGGCGGCCUGAUAAGUCAGUGGUGAAAUCUCUCAGCUUAACUGAGAAACUGCCAUUGAUACUGUCGGGCUUGAGUACAGAUGAUGUGGGCGGAAUAUGACAUGUAGUGGUGAAAUACUUAGAUAUGUCAUAGAACACCGAUUGCGAAGGCAGCUCACAAAACUGUAACUGACGCUGAGGCACGAAAGUGCGGGGAUCAAACAGGAUUAGAUACCCUGGUAGUCCGCACCGUAAACGAUGAUUACUCGUUGUUGGCAAUAUGACCGUCAGCGACCAAGCGAAAGCGAUAAGUAAUCCACCUGGGGAGUACGCCGGCGAACGGUGAAACGUUAAAGGAAUUGACGG
rnacentral:rRNA from 1 species